rnacentral:rRNA from 1 species
AUUGAACGCUGGCGGCAUGCUUUACACAUGCAAGUCGAACGGUAACAGGCCUUCGGGUGCUGACGAGUGGCGAACGGGUGAGUAAUGCAUCGGAACGUGCCCAGAGGUGGGGGAUAACGCAGCGAAAGCUGUGCUAAUACCGCAUGUGAUCUGAGGAUGAAAGCGGGGGACCAGGCAGCAAUGUUUGGCCUCGCGCCUUUGGAGCGGCCGAUGUCAGAUUAGGUAGUUGGUGGGGUAAAGGCCUACCAAGCCGACGAUCUGUAGCUGGUCUGAGAGGACGACCAGCCACACUGGGACUGAGACACGGCCCAGACUCCUACGGGAGGCAGCAGUGGGGAAUUUUGGACAAUGGGCGCAAGCCUGAUCCAGCAAUGCCGCGUGCGGGAAGAAGGCCUUCGGGUUGUAAACCGCUUUUGUAAGGAACGAAAAGGCUCUGGCUAAUACCUGGGGCUGAUGACGGUACCGUAAGAAUAAGCACCGGCUAACUACGUG